rnacentral:rRNA from 1 species
AUUGAACGCUGGCGGCAGGCUUAACACAUGCAAGUCGAGCGAGCGGCGGACGGGUGAGUAAUGUCUGGGAAACUGCCUGACGGAGGGGGAUAACUACUGGAACCGGUAGCUAAUACCGCAUACCAUCAGAUGUGCCCAGAUGGGAUUCGCUAGUUGGUGGGGUAAUGUCUCACCUAGGCGACGAUCCCUAGCUGGUCUGAGAGGAGGACCAGCCACACUGGAACGGAGACACGGUCCAGACUACUACGGGAGGCAGCAGUGGGGAAUAUUGCACAAUGGGCGCAAGCCUGGUGCAGCCAUGCCGCGUGGGUGAAGAAGGGCAUCGGGUUGUAAAGCACUUUCAGCGUGGAGGCGUUACUCGCAGAAGAAGCACCGGCUAACUCCGUGCCAGCAGCCGCGGUAAUUC